AAUAAAUCAUGCACGGUCUAAAAGAGCAGGUUCCCGCUCGAAAAUUUGUCUUCAUUUCAAAUUUUGAUGGUUUCAAAAGUUGAAGAAAUCACAGCAUGUUGAAAUUGAUAAUGACGGAACGAAGCUAUAGGAAAUGUUUUGACAUGGUCCGCUGUGGGAAUAUAGCAUCAAUACGACUCUCGGACCUUCAAUAGGGCACCAUGUUGUUACAGCAAAGAAAUAUGUUAAAUAAAGGAAGACAACCACCACUCCCAACUUCAUCAUCAUCAUCAUCAUCAUCAUCAUCAUUAGUAGUAGUAGUGGCAACAACAGAAGAGCACAAACAGCAGUAGUUUAAAAGUUUUUCUACCAAAGAGAACUGGACAUCAGAAGCUAUGGUGAAGCAUCAAGAAAAACCAGCACAAAGGAUUCACCAUUAAGAAUUUAAUUAUGAAACUCUUCAAAUGAACUCAUUAAGAGACGUCUUGGGUUGGAAAAUAUAAAACAACUGACAAUGGAGCUUAGAACAUAAUUCGUGCUUGGCGCAAAAGACUGUACUUUAUCUAAUGAUAAUAGUUUUUGUGGACUUCCAUAUUUACAUGUUUGACGUUAUAUAUUAAUAAAGUUCUGUGUUUUU
rnacentral:sRNA from 1 species